rnacentral:pre_miRNA from 1 species
UUAACUCAAAUUUGUAUGAAGUUGGAACAGCGCCCCUAGCGGCAAACGUAGGCAAAAAUUCCAACUGCAUACAAAUUAGAGUUA